GUCGAAAGUCGAAACACUCGAAACGCAAUCAUUGUGUUUUGGUAUUUAUAACGAUAGCCAUCCAAAACGCUAUAAACAUUUUUAGUUUAAUUAUAAAGAUAUUUCUUAUUAAUUACACUUUUUUGUAAUAUGCCACCGAAACGCAAGGUUUUUAAGGGAAUAGUCCGACAAAAUAAGGAAAAGAAAGAAUUAGAAGGGAACAAGCCCAAAGAAUACAAGCCCAAUGAUCAAAAUCAAUUACCUGGUGUUCAACUUGAUACAAAGAGCCUGGUAAGU